rnacentral:rRNA from 1 species
GAUGAACGCUAGCUACAGGCUUAACACAUGCAAGUCGCGGGGCAGCAUGUCGGUUGCUUGCAACCGAUGAUGGCGACCGGCGCACGGGUGAGUAACGCGUAUCCAACCUGCCCUUCACCACGGAAUAAUCCAGUGAAAAUUGGUCUAAUACCGUAUGAGGUCAUACGAUGGCAUCAGAAUAUGACGAAAGGUUUAGCGGUGAAGGAUGGGGAUGCGUCUGAUUAGCUUGUUGGUGAGGUAACGGCUCACCAAGGCGACGAUCAGUAGGGGUUCUGAGAGGAAGGUCCCCCCACAUUGGAACUGAGACACGGUCCAAACUCCUACGGGAGGCAGCAGUGAGGAAUAUUGGUCAAUGGGCGCAGGCCUGAACCCAGCCAAGUCGCGUGAGGGAUGACGGUCCUACGGAUUGGUAAACCUCUUUUGUCGGGGAGUAACGUGCGGGACGCGUCCCGUAUUGAGAGUACCCGAAGAAAAGCAAUCGGCUAACUCCGUGCC